CCGCUACACAUGCAGUCGAGGGGUAACAUAGAAAAGCUUGCUUUUCUGAUGACGACCGGCGCACGGGUGCGUAACGCGUAUACAACCUACCUUUUAGCGGGGAAUAGCCCAGGGAAACUUGGAUUAAUGCCCCAUAGUAUAUAGACUUCUCCUGAAGUUUAUAUUAAACAUUUAUGGCUAUUAGAUGGGUAUGCGUCCUAUUAGUUAGUUGGUAAGGUAACGGCUUACCAAGGCAGCGAUAGGUAGGGGUCCUGAGAGGGAGAUCCCCCACACUGGUACUGAGACACGGACCAGACUCCUACGGGAGGCAGCAGUGAGGAAUAUUGGACAAUGGGCGAGAGCCUGAUCCAGCCAUGCCGCGUGCAGGAAGACUGCCCUAUGGGUUGUAAACUGCUUUUACAGAGGAAGAACCACCCCCACGUGUGGGGGUUUGACGGUACUCUGCGAAUAAGGAUCGGCUAACUCCGUGCCAGCAGCCGCGGUAAUACGGAGGAUCCAAGCGUUAUCCGGAAUCAUUGGGUUUAAAGGGUCCGUAGGCGGGCAGUUAAGUCAGUGGUGAAAGUCUUCCGCUCAACGGGAGAACUGCCAUUGAUACUGAUUGUCUUGAGUUAUUAUGAAGUGGUUAGAAUGAGUAGUGUAGCGGUGAAAUGCAUAGAUAUUACUCAGAAUACCGAUUGCGAAGGCAGAUCACUAAUAAUAUACUGACGCUGAUGGACGAAAGCGUAGGUAGCGAACAGGAUUAGAUACCCUGGUAGUCUACGCCGUAAACGAUGGUUACUAGCUGUUCGGCCCAAUUGAGGGCUGAGUGGUUAAGCGAAAGUGAUAAGUAACCCACCUGGGGAGUACGUUCGCAAGAAUGAAACUCAAAGGAAUUGACGGGGGCCCGCACAAGCGGUGGAGCAUGUGGUUUAAUUCGAUGAUACGCGAGGAACCUUACCAGGGCUUAAAUGUAGUCUGACAGGUCUGGAAACAGACUUUUCUUCGGACAGAUUACAAGGUGCUGCAUGGUUGUCGUCAGCUCGUGCCGUGAGGUGUCAGGUUAAGUCCUAUAACGAGCGCAACCCCUGUGGUUAGUUGCCAGCGAGUAAUGUCGGGAACUCUAGCCAGACUGCCGGUGCAAACCGCGAGGAAGGUGGGGAUGACGUCAAAUCAUCACGGCCCUUACGUCCUGGGCCACACACGUGCUACAAUGGUAGGGACAGAGAGCAGCCACUUCGCGAGAAGGAGCGAAUCUACAAACCCUAUCACAGUUCGGAUCGCAGUCUGCAACUCGACUGCGUGAAGCUGGAAUCGCUAGUAAUCGCAUAUCAGCCAUGAUGCGGUGAAUACGUUCCCGGGCCUUGUACACACCGCCCGUCAAGCCAUGGAAGCCGGGGGUACCUGAAGUCGGUCACCGCAAGGAGCCGCCUAGGUAA
rnacentral:rRNA from 1 species